rnacentral:rRNA from 1 species
GACGAACGCUGGCGGCGUGCUUAACACAUGCAAGUCGAACGGAGUGGCGAACGGGUGAGUAACACGUGGGUGAUCCGCCCUGCACUUCGGGAUACGCUUGGGAAACUGGGUCUAAUACAGGAUAGUGCAAGCUGGGCUCGGGGCCUAUCAUCCUGUUGGUGGGGUAAAGGCCUACGAAGGCGUCGACGGGUAGCCGGCCUGAGAGGGUGUAAGGGCACAGUGGGACUGGGGUAGCGCCCAGACUGCUACGUGAGGCAGCAGUGGGGAAUAUUGCACAAUAGGCGGAGGCCUUGUGCAGCGACGCCGGGUGGGGAAUGAAGGUCUUCCGGUAGUAAACUCCUUUCGGCGAGGACGCGGUACCUGUAUAAGAAGCACCGGCUAACUACGUGCCAGCAGCCGCGGUAAUAC